GUAGGUGGCAAGCGUUGUCCGGAAUUAUUGGGCGUAAAGCGCGCGCAGGCGGUCCUUUAAGUCUGAUGUGAAAGCCCACGGCUCAACCGUGGAGGGUCAUUGGAAACUGGGGGACUUGAGUGCAGAAGAGAAGAGUGGAAUUCCACGUGUAGCGGUGAAAUGCGUAGAGAUGUGGAGGAACACCAGUGGCGAAGGCGACUCUUUGGUCUGUAACUGACGCUGAGGCGCGAAAGCGUGGGGAGCAAACAGGAUUAGAUACCCUGGUAGUCCACGCCGUAAACGAUGAGUGCUAAGUGUUAGAGGGUUUCCGCCCUUUAGUGCUUCAGCAAACGCAUUAAGCACUCCGCCUGGGAGUACGGCCGCAAGGCUG
rnacentral:rRNA from 1 species